rnacentral:snRNA from 1 species
GGAUGUGAAGGUGACUUGUCUGCAACAUCUGACAUCCCAUUGAUUGCCAGGGUUGAUUCUGAUGACCUAAUUGGCUAAGCGGAUGUUUCCUUCCUCCUCCUUGCUCCCUCUGUAUUCCUCCUCAAGCUGGUUGAAGAGCUCUGCCUUCCUCAAAUAGUGCAUCCCCCUGCUAGAACUUCCAAACGAACUCUCAAAGUACUUCAGCAGUUUAAACAGUGAAUGCAGCAAUAAUCUUUGACCCUGAGGAGUUAU